rnacentral:lncRNA from 1 species
GGGAGAUGACAAAGAAAGAGUUACAUUCCCUUUUCUUCUCUGUAUUUUUACCAACACUUCAUUUUCAGACAGCUGAAGGACGGUUGUGAAGUGAUGAGAAAUCAUCAGAACCAGGACAAGAGAAAAGAAAAGACAAGAAGCUGAAGUAUUUGGUGCCCCAGCAGAAACAGAUGAUGAGGAGGCUCUUCGAGAACCAGGUGCUAGUUGGGAGAGCGAAGGCAGGACAGAAGGCUCAUGGUCAGAGAUGGCCAAAAUUCACUGAUUUGAAGACUGAUAGACUCCUAGUGCAGAAAGGAAUAUGCCAAUAAAGCAAUUGUCCUGAUUAUCAGAGGGAUACAUUUUGCUGGGAGAUAUUUACUUUUAUUUAAUUAAGCUGCUUUAAUAAGGUAAGCACCACACAAAGCAUUUAGCAAACUCCAUUAAGGUAAGUUUGACUCAUCAUUUGGCAGCAUGGAGAAACAACUGAAAGAGAGUACAGGGCUGCGCAGCAAGAUACUUAUCCCAGAUGACAACACACUGUUAUUUAUAGAGCCCACAAUGUGCUGUUAGCAUGCUCCAGCAAUUGCCACACCUGGAUGUCCUUCCUCAGUGCAACCAACAGGGCAUUCCUCCACCCUUCCUCCCCCUGCACCUCCACCAGCUGCACCUGAGGUUGUG